UUUCAAGGCUUCUAGGGUGCCUUCUUCUCCACUGGGCAUGAAUUCUCCACAGCCGUCUGUUACAUGGCCGCCUGUGCUGGCAGCAUGGUUCUUCAGGCAUUCUCGGUAGCGAAUUAAGGGUUUGCUGGGAUGAUGAUUCUUGGGCCUGCAGGUUGAUUCUUGAAGGUGGAUGUGAACUGAAAGCCAUAGACCUUGGAAUCCCCUCAAACUUCUCCUUGCUUCUGGACUCCAUUGAUGCUAAAUCAGAAUCUGGAAGAAAUCUUUUAACCGCCUCUGAGUACGGAGUUCGAUCAAGCAUUUCAGCCAACUGCCUUCGCUGGGGCAAAUUAUUGUGUGGACCAUAACAUAAUAUACAUUUUUAAUGUACUAAAUGUACAUUAUUUUU